rnacentral:rRNA from 1 species
UCAAGUGAAGAAGCGCAUACGGUGGAUGCCUUGGCAGUCAGAGGCGAUGAAAGACGUGGUAGCCUGCGAAAAGCUUCGGGGAGUCGGCAAACAGACUUUGAUCCGGAGAUCUCUGAAUGGGGGAACCCACCUAGGAUAACCUAGGUAUCUUGUACUGAAUCCAUAGGUGCAAGAGGCGAACCAGGGGAACUGAAACAUCUAAGUACCCUGAGGAAAAGAAAUCAACCGAGAUUCCCUUAGUAGUGGCGAGCGAACGGGGAUUAGCCCUUAAGCUUCAUUGAUUUUAGCGGAACGCUCUGGAAAGUGCGGCCAUAGUGGGUGAUAGCCCCGUACGCGAAAGGAUCUUUGAAGUGAAAUCGAGUAGGACGGAGCACGAGAAACUUUGUCUGAACAUGGGGGGACCAUCCUCCAAGGCUAAAUACUACUGACUGACCGAUAGUGAACCAGUACCGUGAGGGAAAGGCGAAAAGAACCCCGGAGAGGGGAGUGAAAUAGAACCUGAAACCGUAUGCGUACAAGCAGUGGGAGCCUACUUGUUAGGUGACUGCGUACCUUUUGUAUAAUGGGUCAGCGACUUAUAUUCAGUGGCAAGCUUAACCGUAUAGGGUAGGCGUAGCGAAAGCGAGUCUUAAUAGGGCGUUUAGUCGCUGGGUAUAGACCCGAAACCGGGCGAUCUAUCCAUGAGCAGGUUGAAGGUUAGGUAACACUGACUGGAGGACCGAACCCACUCCCGUUGAAAAGGUAGGGGAUGACUUGUGGAUCGGAGUGAAAGGCUAAUCAAGCUCGGAGAUAGCUGGUUCUCCUCGAAAGCUAUUUAGGUAGCGCCUCAUGUAUCACUCUGGGGGGUAGAGCACUGUUUCGGCUAGGGGGUCAUCCCGACUUACCAAACCGAUGCAAACUCCGAAUACCCAGAAGUGCCGAGCAUGGGAGACACACGGCGGGUGCUAACGUCCGUCGUGAAAAGGGAAACAAUCCAGACCGCCAGCUAAGGUCCCAAAGUUGUGGUUAAGUGGUAAACGAUGUGGGAAGGCUUAGACAGCUAGGAGGUUGGCUUAGAAGCAGCCACCCUUUAAAGAAAGCGUAAUAGCUCACUAGUCGAGUCGGCCUGCGCGGAAGAUGUAACGGGGCUCAAACCACACACCGAAGCUGCGGGUGUCACGUAAGUGACGCGGUAGAGGAGCGUUCUGUAAGCCUGUGAAGGUGAGUUGAGAAGCUUGCUGGAGGUAUCAGAAGUGCGAAUGCUGACAUGAGUAACGACAAUGGGUGUGAAAAACCCCCACGCCGAAAGACCAAGGGUUCCUGCGCAACGUUAAUCGACGCAGGGUUAGUCGGUUCCUAAGGCGAGGCUGAAAAGCGUAGUCGAUGGGAAACAGGUUAAUAUUCCUGUACUUCUGGUUACUGCGAUGGAGGGACGGAGAAGGCUAGGCCAGCUUGGCGUUGGUUGUCCAAGUUUAAGGUGGUAGGCUGAAAUCUUAGGUAAAUCCGGGGUUUCAAGGCCGAGAGCUGAUGACGAGUCGUCUUUUAGAUGACGAAGUGGUUGAUGCCAUGCUUCCAAGAAAAGCUUCUAAGCUUCAGGUAACCAGGAACCGUACCCCAAACCGACACAGGUGGUCGGGUAGAGAAUACCAAGGCGCUUGAGAGAACUCGGGUGAAGGAACUAGGCAAAAUGGCACCGUAACUUCGGGAGAAGGUGCGCCGGCUAGGGUGAAGGAUUUACUCCGUAAGCUCUGGCUGGUCGAAGAUACCAGGCCGCUGCGACUGUUUAUUAAAAACACAGCACUCUGCAAACACGAAAGUGGACGUAUAGGGUGUGACGCCUGCCCGGUGCCGGAAGGUUAAUUGAUGGGGUUAGCGCAAGCGAAGCUCUUGAUCGAAGCCCCGGUAAACGGCGGCCGUAACUAUAACGGUCCUAAGGUAGCGAAAUUCCUUGUCGGGUAAGUUCCGACCUGCACGAAUGGCGUAACGAUGGCGGCGCUGUCUCCACCCGAGACUCAGUGAAAUUGAAAUCGCUGUGAAGAUGCAGUGUAUCCGCGGCUAGACGGAAAGACCCCGUGAACCUUUACUGUAGCUUUGCACUGGACUUUGAGCCUGCUUGUGUAGGAUAGGUGGGAGGCUUUGAAGCGUGGACGCCAGUUCGCGUGGAGCCAUCCUUGAAAUACCACCCUGGCAUGCUUGAGGUUCUAACUCUGGUCCGUGAUCCGGAUCGAGGACAGUGUAUGGUGGGCAGUUUGACUGGGGCGGUCUCCUCCUAAAGAGUAACGGAGGAGUACGAAGGUGCGCUCAGACCGGUCGGAAAUCGGUCGUAGAGUAUAAAGGCAAAAGCGCGCUUGACUGCGAGACAGACACGUCGAGCAGGUACGAAAGUAGGUCUUAGUGAUCCGGUGGUUCUGUAUGGAAGGGCCAUCGCUCAACGGAUAAAAGGUACUCCGGGGAUAACAGGCUGAUACCGCCCAAGAGUUCAUAUCGACGGCGGUGUUUGGCACCUCGAUGUCGGCUCAUCACAUCCUGGGGCUGAAGCCGGUCCCAAGGGUAUGGCUGUUCGCCAUUUAAAGUGGUACGCGAGCUGGGUUUAGAACGUCGUGAGACAGUUCGGUCCCUAUCUGCCGUGGACGUUUGAGAUUUGAGAGGGGCUGCUCCUAGUACGAGAGGACCGGAGUGGACGAACCUCUGGUGUUCCGGUUGUCACGCCAGUGGCAUUGCCGGGUAGCUAUGUUCGGAAAAGAUAACCGCUGAAAGCAUCUAAGCGGGAAACUUGCCUCAAGAUGAGAUCUCACUGGGAACUUGAUUCCCCUGAAGGGCCGUCGAAGACUACGACGUUGAUAGGCUGGGUGUGUAAGCGUUGUGAGGCGUUGAGCUAACCAGUACUAAUUGCCCGUGAGGCUUGACCAU